AUGGUGGCCGGCACGCGGUACCGUGGCAUGUUCGAGGAGCGCAUGAAGAACGUGAUCAACCGGGCAGAGGCGUCCAACGGCAAGAUCAUACUUUUCGUGGACGAGAUGCACAUGCUCUACUCGGCCGGCAGCAGCCGGACCAACUGCACCAGCGCCUCCAACAUGCUCAAGCCGGCGCUGGCCCGCGGCCGCAUCCGCUGCGUGGGGGCCACCACCUUUGACGAGUACCGCCAGUACGUGGAGAAGGACCCUGCGCUCGAGCGACGGUUUCAGAAAGUGCACGUCGGGGAGCCGAGCAUUGAGGCCACCAUUGCCAUCUUGCGGGGGCUAAAGCAACGAUUCCAAGACCACCAUGGACUCGAGAUUCAGGAUGCCGCUCUCGUCGCUGCUGCGCGCCUCGGUGCCCGCUACAUCACCGGUCGUCAAUUUCCAGAUAAGGCAAUUGAUCUGAUCGACGAGGCAUGUACUUUCAUAGCCAGAAAGAUGAAGCAGAUUGACAACCAAGUACUAGUAGAUGACAACACUACUCCCACUAGCUUAAACGAUGCAAAUAAAAAAGUGGUUGUCAACACGAAAAGUAGCUCCACAAAUAGAGUGAAGAAAGCAAUUGUUGAUCCAAAUGAUGUCGCACAGGUUGUGAGUCGAUGGACUGGAAUUCCUGUCGCUACGCUUUGUGAAGAGGAGAAGGACAAAUUAAUCCAUAUUCGAGACAGAUUGCAUGAGCGGGUUAUUGGUCAAGAUGAAGCGGUCAAUUUGGUUGCGCAAGCGGUGUUACGCUCUAGGGCCGGCCUUGAUCAACCUAGCCAACCGACAUGUACUUUCCUCUUUUUAGACCCGUCUGGUGUUGGAAAGACAGAGCUUGCAAAAGCUCUUGCCGAGCAACUAUUUGACAGUGAAAAGAUGCAUGUUCGGGUUGACAUGUCUGAAUAUGCUACUGCUGGGUCUGUAACACGUCUCAUUGGAGCACCUCCAAGCUAUAUUGGAUAUGAAGAUAGCGGACAAUUGACUGAAAAGGUGAGAAGGCAUCCAUAUAGCCUUAUCCUUUUUGAUGAGGUCGAGAAGGCACAUCCCUCGGUGUUUAAUAUUUUUCUUCAAAUUCUUGAUGAUGGCAUGUUGACUGAUGGCAAAGGAUGCUUGGGUCAGCCUUGA
rnacentral:rRNA from 1 species